rnacentral:rRNA from 1 species
AGUGAACGCUGGCGGUAGGCCUAACACAUGCAAGUCGAACGGCAGCACAGUAAGAGCUUGCUCUUACGGGUGGCGGGUGGCGGACGGGUGAGGAAUACAUCGGAAUCUACUUUUUCGUGGGGGAUAACGUAGGGAAACUUACGCUAAUACCGCAUACGACCUACGGGUGAAAGCAGGGGAUCUUCGGACCUUGCGCGAUUGAAUGAGCCGAUGUCGGAUUAGCUAGUUGGCGGGGUAAAGGCCCACCAAGGCGACGAUCCGUAGCUGGUCUGAGAGGAUGAUCAGCCACACUGGAACUGAGACACGGUCCAGACUCCUACGGGAGGCAGCAGUGGGGAAUAUUGGACAGUGGGCGCAAGCCUGAUCCAGCCAUACCGCGUGGGUGAAGAAGGCCUUCGGGUUGUAAAGCCCUUUUGUUGGGAAAGAAAAGCAGCAGGUUAAGACCCCGCUGUUCUGACGGUACCCAAAGAAUAAGCACCGGCUAACUUCGU